AUCAGGGGACCAGUGCCUGCAAUGCUCUUUCAAUAGCAUAUUUUUUACGUGUAUAUUAUUACAGGGGGAAUGAAUGUGUUUUUGUCCCAUGGAAAUGUCUUGGAAGAAAGGGAUGUGAUGAAAUUCUCUUCAGCCAGCCUUGUCUCAGUUUUCAGGGAGAAAACUCCCUGACUCUCAGAAUCUGCAGAUUGGGACUGGUCUUUUUACCUUUAUCACCUGCACAGUUGAAAGUUGGAAAUACUGAAUCCUAUUCCAGGCUGAGCCAACAAGAUUUUUAGAAGAAAUUGGUUGUUGAAGAAUUCCUGAAUUUCUUUGUCAAGAGCCUGCAAAUUAAAUUGAGUGAGGAAAUCUCUUCCUCACUUUACAUAACAAUUUAAAUAAACUAUUACGUGUCAAAUAAAACUUUUAUUAU
rnacentral:lncRNA from 1 species